rnacentral:rRNA from 1 species
AGUGAACGCUGGCGGUAGGCCUAACACAUGCAAGUCGAACGGCAGCACAGUAAGAGCCUGCUCUUACGGGUGGCGAGUGGCGGACGGGUGAGGAAUACAUCGGAAUCUACUUUUUCGUGGGGGAUAACGUAGGGAAACUUACGCUAAUACCGCAUACGACCUACGGGUGAAAGCAGGGGAUCUUCGGACCUUGCGCGAUUGAAUGAGCCGAUGUCGGAUUAGCUAGUUGGCGGGGUAAAGGCCCACCAAGGCGACGAUCCGUAGCUGGUCUGAGAGGAUGAUCAGCCACACUGGAACUGAGACACGGUCCAGACUCCUACGGGAGGCAGCAGUGGAGAAUAUUGGACAAUGGGCGCAAGCCUGAUCCAGCCAUACCGCGUGGGUGAAGAAGGCCUUCGGGUUGUAAAGCCCUUUUGUUGGGAAAGAAAAGCAGCAGGUUAAUACCCCGCUGUUCUGACGGUACCCAAAGAAUAAGCACCGGCUAACUUCGUG